CCUACGGGAGGCAGCAGUGAGGAAUCUUGGUCAAUGGACGAGAGUCUGAACCAGCCAAGUAGCGUGAAGGAUGACUGCCCUAUGAGUUGUAAACUUCUGUUAUAAAGGAAUAAAAUGAGGAACGUGUGCCGUUUUGCAUGUACUGAAUGAAUAAGGAGCGGCUAGCUCCGUGCCAGCAGCGUCGGUAAUACGGGGGAGGAGAGCGUUCUCCGUAUGUAUUGGGUUAAAAGGGUGCGUAGGCGGAUUUUAAAGUCAGAGGUAAAAUGUCCGGGCUCAAACCGGGCCGGCCGUUGAAACUGGGGAUCUUGAGUGGGCGAGAAGUAUGCGGAAUGCGUGGUGGAGCGGUGAAAUGCAUAGAUAUCACGCAGAACGCCGAUGGCGAAGGCAGCAUACCGGCGCCCGACUGACGCUGAGGCACGAAGGCGUGGGGAUCGAACAGGAUUAGAUACCCUUGUAGUC
rnacentral:rRNA from 1 species